AUCAUUUCUCUGCCUUUUGGCUGUGAUCAAGUGUAGUAUCUGUUCUUAUCCAUGUGUGAGGAACAUCAUAGCUAAGGGAUGUAUGUCAGGACCCAUU
ensembl:snRNA U2 U2 spliceosomal RNA